AUUUACCAACUUUGUAAAAACACAAGGAUCUUUGACAGCACAGAGUUAUGCUGAGAGGGUGUUCGAGGCUAUCAUUCAGGAGUUUCAAUCUGGGAGAGCUGCAGGUGGGUUGUCUUUUUUUCACGAAUACGCAAAGCUUGCGUAUCAUUCAUUGAUAGGGAGAAGAGUUGUUGUACAUGAGAGUUAUGUAGUGGGCAUUAGGGCAAUGCGUACACAUCAGAUGGUGCAAAACCUAGCGCGAGCAUGUUGGAUAUUGGGUGAGCUCAGCCCCAUCCUAGCCUACGGCGCCUACGGUGUGAUGAUGGCUAGUCCCUUUGACCCCUGCCUUGGCCCAUGAGCGAGCCUCCUCUUGGACGUCCUGGAGAAGCUUGGUCGGAGAGGGUGCGGUGCCGUCAAAGAUGCAGGACUUGCGAUGCUUUCAUAUGGACCAGGCGAUCAGGAGAGUGAGCGAGGAGAUGCCUUUAUGAUGCGCCGCCGGAACGGCCAACGUGGUAGCGUGCCACCAGUCCAGAAAUUGGUCAGUAUGUGUGGGCGCGGGAGCCUGGGGUAGCACCAGCUGAAGGAGUCGUGCUACACCUAUCGCGAAAAUGGGCAUCCCACCAGCAGAUGGUCCAUGGACUCGCUAGCCUGGGUUGUCUUCUUUCUGAAUCAUGUUUUUGUUGAUUUCUCCUCGCUCGGAGUGUAUUAGAGGUCAUGAUCAGUACAGUUCCAGUUCUGUUUUCUCAAGAGCUGACCCUAUAAAUAGUCGCUCCAUGUUUCUUUGUGAUAAUCUAUAAAUUAUUCCCUCUAUUUCCAUAUAGUUCGGUGUUAGGCCCUUCGAGAUAACACUACUCCCCAUAUUAAAGAAGUCAAUGUGAGGAUAUCGUUGGAAAUUCAGUCACUAUUCCAGGAAGAAACUUUUGAAUAAUCGAGGAUGCAGUUCCAUAAAUGGUAUAAUUCCAAAUGAGAUUUUACGACAUUAAAUCCAUGGCGCCUAAUGAACAAGUGUAGAUAAAAAUAUAAGCAAAAAGAUAGUAUGCAUCACUAGUUUACUACUACCUCCGUCCGGGUUUAUUGGUCUCCAUUGUAUUUCGUGCCAAAUUUUGAUCAUAGAUUAAACUGACAAAAUGUUCACGCAUGUCACCAAACAUUAUAUUUUUGAAAACUAUGUUCAAAUACGAAUUCAAUGAGAUAUUUUUUCUUGACAUGCAUUAACAUUUUGUUAAUUAAAUCUUUAGUCAAAAUUUGGCACAAACUAUAAAGGGGACCUAUAAACCAGGACGGAGGUAGUACCUUUGUUGUUUUUCUUGAAGCAGAAAAUAAGAUCAUUUUAAAGAAAACGAUCAGAUGAGAUAAGAAGGGUCUUGCGAUGCAUGCAGCUCAUGCAAAUAGAGGUAGUUUAGUCUGUGAGGUAAGUUUACCUCACAAACUUAUUGUUUCUUUCGGCAGUGGUUCUAGUGUCCGAACAUUGCAUGCGCAGUAACUUAGUUUACAUGCGUGAGGAAAAAUUACCUCACCCGCCUUGUUUCUUACGGUAGCUCCAUAGUACGUUUCCUUCCUCCCUGUUGUAAUCUUACCUCGGGUGCUUCAUUUGUUAUGUUUUGAAAUGUUCGGUCGUAGGGUGGCUCGGGUGAGGAAUAGAAUUCCUCACCCAGGUGACAAAUAGUCAAUAUAUAUAUUAUAUAUAUAUAUAUAUAUAGGAAAAUGGGUUGGUACUCUUAGGAGUACAUACGCCUUACUACGUGUAGGUGGCUGGUUUCACUGGCGCAUAGGAAUCUUAGCGCUCAAAGCCAUUUAGCUUUUAGUUAAAGAAAUAAUGAGUGAAAAAAUCCAUCUAAAACAAACAGAGAUCAUUGGUCCGAUUUUUUAGGCGCUUUUAUAUGCGUUGCGCUUAUCCAUCUCCCCUCCCAUCUCAUUAGUGUUAUGCGGCGGCGGCGGCGACUCGCACGGCUGGAACUACAUCGGCCUCGUGGAGAAGGAGCUCGUCUUCUCACCGGCCAACAAUGCCCUGACUGACCAGGUUUGUUUCCAGCGCGUGACUCUGAUGUGUGAAACCAGAUCGACAAGGCAAUCAACUCUCUUUUUCUGCUGGUUUGUAGGUGGCUGGAAUCCGGCGAUCAUUGCCUUCCGCGUUCCAACAACCGAAUGCCAUCCAUGAGAACAAUGGAUGGAACCCAGUUCUUACUGGUGGACGUAAAAGUGUACUGCAAGUUCUCCAACCGCAAGCAACUUUGGAGUCCAGCAAUCACUGGUUAGAUCUAGCCGCUCUCCUUCUAAAUCUUUCUUUGAGUCAACAGUGUGUAAACCAUUAUAGAUCUGGUACGAAUUGGUUGCAUUUUUUUCUUCUAAUAAUGGAGUAGUCAAUGUAUUAGCGACACCAAAUAACGGGUAUAUUCAUCUCAGUUUCGUCAGGAUAUGUGACCCAUUCAUCAUCCCGUUAGUGCAAAUUCUAGUAAAUCAAGUGAGUAUGUUCGUCAGUAUAUUGAGCAUAUUAUCACAGCCACUGCCCAAACUGAUUGUAGAACCAGAUGAGAAGCACCUUGUCUCACCCAAUCUACCUAAUUAUUUUUUUAUCCUUAAACACCUUAACAAAGUCUGAAGAUCAGAUUACUUACAGUUGCUGGUGUAAACAAUUUUUUAAGCUCUUUUUUUGUUUCUUUUCUCUUAGUACCCAGUUUAGAAUUUUUUGUAUAUAUAGCUAGAAAUUAGGUACGUACAAUUGUACAAUGUUUCUUGAAUCAAGUCAAAUUUAUGUUGCUAAUUGUUUUCUAUUGAAUGUCCAUGUAUGUAAAACUUGUAGAUUUGUUUGACUGAGGAGCACUUCCAGAAGUACAUGUGGUGUUAUCUGAAGCUUGCUGGAAGAUAUACCUCUUUCUUCUUCUUCUUCUUCUUCUUCUUUAGUUUUUUAGCAUUAACCCUUUUUGAAGAUGUAAAUAAAGUAGCUGCAUGGUCCAGUUUGCUUAGUCAGUGUACAUGUAUCAAGAUGCAAAUUUCUGUACAUGAUGUACCAAUGUAUCUAGUAUCUUGUUAACCAUGGUUCCACUUGACCAAAACUUGACAGAUCUCUGAAGAAGCAGUGACUUCACAUGUAUAUAACACACAGAGUGAAAAGUACUGUGAUACCCUUUGUUCAGUUCAAAAAAUAUGGAUACUUCCUUUUGAGGUAUAUCAGAGAAAUUCCAUUU
rnacentral:lncRNA from 1 species